rnacentral:rRNA from 1 species
CCUCGAAAUCCUGUGGCGAGAGGAUUCAGUCUGGGCGCGACGGACGCGAAGGUCGGAAGAUGCAGGGCUUCCCGAGACUGGGGCCGUUCGAUCUCGCGCCAUCUGUCGCGCUCGACGCAUUUGACUCUCGCCCGAAGGACGCUGCAGCCGGUCGGGCAGCGCAAGCGUGACGGCCUGGAGGCCGGGGAACCGCAGGUGGCCGGUGGCGCGCCCCGUGUGCGUCGCCGGUUGUUAGCAUUCCCGGCAGUGGCCCGUCGCCCGACCGAGGUGUCAAUAGACCAGCUUUGGUCUCCACGUCUCCUCCCCCAGACGAAGCGGGACAGACGGCCGCUGGCGAGGAUCGCCGUCUAGCCGCACUCGGAUCGAGUGGACGAGCGAACGGUCAGUGCCGUAGGCGGCCGCGGAGCCCGCGGGAGAGCAGGAGGCUGGCAGCGAGUGCGUCGGUCACCCACCCGACCCGUCUUGAAACACGGACCAAGGAGUCUAACAUGUGCGCGAGUCAAUGGGUCUUGAACAGGCCCAGGGGCGCAAUGAAAGCAAAGGUCGGCACCAGUCGACCGAGUUGGGAUCCCUCCCCCUCGGGGGGGGGCGCACCAACGUCCCGUCCCACCCGGCUCGCCGGAGGGGCGGAGAUCGAGCGCACACGUUGGGACCCGAAAGAUGGUGAACUAUGCCCGGACAGGACGAAGCCAGAGGAAACUCUGGUGGAGGUCCGCAGCG